rnacentral:rRNA from 1 species
AUUGAACGCUGGCGGCAUGCCUUACACAUGCAAGUCGAACGGCAGCACGGGUGCUUGCACCUGGUGGCGAGUGGCGAACGGGUGAGUAAUACAUCGGAACGUACCUUAUCGUGGGGGAUAACGCAGCGAAAGCUGUGCUAAUACCGCAUACGCCCUGAGGGGGAAAGCGGGGGACCGCAAGACCUCGCGCGAUUAGAGCGGCCGAUGCCUGAUUAGCUUGUUGGUGGGGUAAAAGCCCACCAAGGCGACGAUCAGUAGCUGGUCUGAGAGGAAGAUAAGCGACACUGGGAAUGAGACACGGCCCAGACUCCUACGGAAGGCAGCAGUGGGGAAUUUUGAACAAUGGGGGCAACCCUGAUCCAGCAAUGCCGCGUGAGUGAAGAAGGCCUUCGGGUUGUAAAGCUCUUUUGUCAGGGAAGAAACACCGGCUCUAACACAGUCCGGGAAUGACGGUACCUGAAGAAUAAGCACCGGCUAACUACGUGCCAGCCGCCGCCGUAA